GAUGAACGCUGGCGGCGUGCCUAAUACAUGCAAGUCGAGCGAACAGACGAGGAGCUUGCUCCUCUGACGUUAGCGGCGGACGGGUGAGUAACACGUGGAAAACCUACCUAUAAGACUGGGAUAACUUCGGGAAACCGGAGCUAAUACCGGAUAAUAUAUUGAACCGCAUGGUUCAAUAGUGAAAGACGGUUUUGCUGUCACUUAUAGAUGGAUCCGCGCCGCAUUAGCUAGUUGGUAAGGUAACGGCUUACCAAGGCAACGAUGCGUAGCCGACCUGAGAGGGUGAUCGGCCACACUGGAACUGAGACACGGUCCAGACUCCUACAGGAGGCAGCAGUAGGGAAUCUUCCGCAAUGGGCGAAAGCCUGACGGAGCAACGCCGCGUGAGUGAUGAAGGUCUUCGGAUCGUAAAACUCUGUUAUUAGGGAAGAACAAAUGUGUAAGUAACUAUGCACGUCUUGACGGUACCUAAUCAGAAAGCCACGGCUAACUACGUG
rnacentral:rRNA from 1 species